UACGUAGGGGGCAAGCGUUUGUCCGGAAUCAUUGGGCGUAAAGAGCGUGUAGGCGGCCUUAUAAGUCGGCUGUGAAAGUCAAGGGCUCAACCCUUGAAUGCCGGCCGAUACUGUGAGGCUAGAGUCCGGAAGAGGCGAGUGGAAUUCCUGGUGUAGCGGUGAAAUGCGCAGAUAUCAGGAGGAACACCGAUGGCGAAGGCAGCUCGCUGGGACGGUACUGACGCUGAGACGCGAAAGCGUGGGGAGCAAACAGG
rnacentral:rRNA from 1 species